AUUGAACGCUGGCGGCAUGCCUUACACAUGCAAGUCGAACGGCAGCACGGGAGCAAUCCUGGUGGCGAGUGGCGAACGGGUGAGUAAUAUAUCGGAACGUGCCCAGUCGUGGGGGAUAACGUAGCGAAAGCUACGCUAAUACCGCAUACGAUCUAUGGAUGAAAGACGGGGGAGUCGCAAGACCUCGCGCGAUUGGAGCGGCCGAUAUCAGAUUAGGUAGUUGGUGGGGUAAAGGACCUACCAAGCCUUCGAUCUGUAGCUGGUCUGAGAGGACGACCAGCCACACUGGAACUGAGACACGGUCCAGACUCCUACGGGAGGCAGCAGUGGGGAAUUUUGGACAAUGGGCGCAAGCCUGAUCCAGCAAUGCCGCGUGCAGGAUGAAGGCC
rnacentral:rRNA from 1 species